rnacentral:rRNA from 1 species
GUGCCAGCAGCCGCGGUAAAACGUAGGAGACAAACGUUAUCCGGAGUUACUGGGCGUAAAGGGCGUGUAGGCGGACUGUUAAGUCUGGCGUGAAAGCUCCCGGCUAAACCGGGAGAGGUCGUUGGAUACUGGCAGACUAGAGGGUGGUAGAGGCGUGUGGAAUUCCGGGUGUAGUGGUGAAAUGCGUAGAGAUCCGGAGGAACACCAGUGGCGAAGGCGACACGCUGGGCCAUACCUGACGCUAAAGCGCGACAGCAUGGGGAGCAAACGGGAUUAGAAACCCCUGUAGUCC